rnacentral:rRNA from 1 species
UCUAGAGAUUACUCCUACGGGAGGCAGCAGUGGGGAAUAUUGGACAAUGGGCGAAAGCCUGAUCCAGCCAUGCCGCGUGUGUGAAGAAGGUCUUCGGAUUGUAAAGCACUUUAAGUUGGGAGGAAGGGCAGUUACCUAAUACGUAAUUGUUUUGACGUUACCGACAGAAUAAGCACCGGCUAACUCUGUGCCAGCAGCCGCGGUAAUAAUCGUCGAC